GACGGAGGGUGCAAGCGUUGUUCGGAUUGACUGGGCGUAAAGGGCGUGUAGGCGGUUGGUCAAGUCUGGUGUGAAAGCCCGGGGCUUAACCCCGGAAGUGCAUUGGAGACUGGCGGACUGGAGUCCCGGAGAGGAGGGUGGAAUUCCUGGUGUAGCGGUGAAAUGCGUAGAUAUCAGGAGGAACACCGGUGGCGAAGGCGGCCCUCUGGACGGUGACUGACGCUGAGACGCGAAAGCGUGGGGAGCAAACAGG
rnacentral:rRNA from 1 species